UUUUAGCCCCGGUAGUAGCGGCAUCCUUUUUUUAAUAACCCUUCUGGAGUUUUGAAUUCUAGAAGGGUUUUGUUUGGGUUAUUAAAAAAAGAUAUAGCGGAUGACGGGACUUUGC
rfam:Flavobacterium succinicans strain DD5b FLB_contig000017, whole genome shotgun sequence.